rnacentral:rRNA from 1 species
CGACCGCUGGCGGCGUGCUUACCACAUGCACGUCGACCGGCAAGGCCCUGCUUUUGUGGGGUGCUCGAGUGGCGAACGGGUGAGUAACACGUGAGUAACCUGCCCUUGACUUUGGGAUAACUUCAGGAAACUGGGGCUAAUACCGGAUAGGAGCUCCUGCUGCAUGGUGGGGGUUGGAAAGUUUCGGCGGUUGGGGAUGGACUCGCGGCUUAUCAGCUUGUUGGUGGGGUAGUGGCUUACCAAGGCUUUGACGGGUAGCCGGCCUGAGAGGGUGACCGGCCACAUUGGGACUGAGAUACGGCCCAGACUCCUACGGGAGGCAGCAGUGGGGAAUAUUGCACAAUGGGCGGAAGCCUGAUGCAGCAACGCCGCGUGCGGGAUGACGACCUUCGGGUUGUAAACCGCUUUCGCCUGUGACGAAGCGUGAGUGACGGUAAUGGGUAAAGAAGCACCGGCUAACUACGUG